ensembl:lncRNA
CAAACAUCCAAAGGAGGCGCUCCUUGUGAAUAAAUAUUUGUUGUCCUUGUUUGGAUAGUGAGGAGUGCUUUCUCUUUCUCUCUCUCAUGCAGUACAGUGGCUGUUCCUAAUGACCCUGUGUUUGCAUCAGCUGUCUGGUUAGAACAUUUACAAAAGCUUGUUUUUUCUGUGGUAAUGUGAAACAUGCUCACACAGCAUUUAUUCUAGUGUGCUUAUUGGUGCAUAAUUCCUAUUCACUCCUCAUUUAUAAAUCAUAAGUGGGGCAGUAAGACUCACACACGGUAGAUAUAAUGCACUGCUCUGUCAAUACACAAUAGAUUAAAUUAGGGACAAAAUAUUGUAUGAAAUGUAAGCCUUAUAAUAUAUUACAUUAACAUAUAUAUCAUAGAACAUGUGCACACCAUAUUUGGUUUUCAUCAGCAGCAUUGCAAUCUCCCUUUUCAAGGAUUGGAGAGAGACCCAGUGUGCUAAACACAUGCUGGUGGAGCUACUGUACAUGAGCAGAGCAGGGAUUGGUCAGCAGCUCUGCCACUCAAACAGCAAAUACGCUCCCACUUCCUCUGUCCUCCUUUCCUGGUGCAGCCUACGAGGGAGGGGAAUGGAUCUUUUCUGUGUGAGUCGCCGGCGCUCCCUCAGGCUGCUCCUUACCACCUGUCCUUGACUUACUGUGCUCAGACGAGACUGAGUGGAAGCUGUGCUGCUGACUCCUCCCCUCUGGCACCUCUCUGUCUGUGUUUAUGUGAGCAGCUGCAUUUUUCCGUUUAAAUCUCUCACUCUGUGUGUGGCUGUUUCUUUCUACCUGUGGUGCUUCAGUGGAGUGGCAAGGAGGGGAACGUCCGUCCUCGGCUGGUGGAGCUCUGAUGGGAGGCAGUGCUGGCUUUAGCUGGGACUGGGGAUGCUGAACGGGGGGAGGGAGGGCCUGUUUGAGCUGGGACAGCAGCUCCAGCAGCAGGGGGAGUACCAGGCCGCCCUCCACUGCUUCCUCAGCUGCCUGUUGGGACUGACCCAUGUACAGAGCUUUACUUCUCUGCCCAACUGCCUUCACCAGAUUGCAGAACUCUUCAUCACUGAAAAGAAUUAUGGGAAGGCCCUCCAGUUCAUCCAGGCUGAAAAAAUGUUCUAUGAGGUGGCACUGAUCGAGCUCACGGCUCUUCAGGGGAGCACAGGGCCUCAGGAGGAGGCUACGCUGGGCUCCGCAGGAUGGACAACACCAGAGGAGCUUUCGGAGCAGGCCUCCCAGGCACAGCACCUCGAACGGUUGGCCCAGCUGUGCAUCAUGAGCAAACAACCUCAUCUUGCUCUAGAAUACAGCGGUAAGGCCACAAAGAUCCACCAGAGGGCCUUUGGUAAUGACCACCCAAUUACAGCCAGAAGCCUGGAGCUUAUGGCCACCGUCUAUGCUGAGAUUGGCAAGACUGAAUAUUCAGACUCCCUGGGUCAGUGUGUGUCUGCACUGUCUAAACGCUUCGCUGCUGCAGAGUCCAUCCGAGACUCAACUGUCAACUGUCUUCCUCACUCCCACCGGGAGAAACACUCAGAGGUCCGCCACAGAAAGGAUACCCACCACCAACAGGAGGACACACCGAAACAGAAGGUAACCAAUGGCAAAGUCCCCACCUCCAUUCUAAAGAGGCCAAGUCCCAACUAUGGGUCAGACUCAGAACCAAACCACAGACGGAAAGGCGAACGGCGAGUUCGAUUCAGGGAGCCAGAGACCACAGUACAUGCCUAUGAGACGACACCGUCCCGCCCCCACCUCGCCCUGUUCACUUGCCUCUUCCUGCUGAUGUCAUUCCUGGGUGUGGCCAUGUACUGCACAGACCGCAGGCGCCCACAGCGAGUGUGUGAGGAGCUGGAGGCUGCUUUGGCUGUCUACCUGCUGCACGUGAAACAGCUUCUUUGGGGCUGCUGGAUAUGGCUGACCAUGCAGUGACUGAGACCGACCACAGGUGGCGACAUGGAGCCUCCUUUAUGUGCUUUUUUUUUCAGACCCCUCUUUUUUUCAUAUCUUGGAAGGAGCCACGGCCUACAAACACCUCAGCCAUUUGGCAAGGCUCUGUGCACUGUCUGUGGUGUUGAACCACUCUCACAGUGAAAAAGGGAAAAAUGUGUAAUCCCAGAAAUAUGUAGCUUCCAUGUCUGUAUGUAUAUAUGUACUAAGGUGGUGGACACGCCACUUCUUAUUUAAGUUGUAAUGAUUUUGCACAUCUGCAAUAUUGAUCCUCACAUAUAGCGCUCACCUAAUCACCACAACCAUCGGAUUUUCCAGGUCAUGUCACUGUCUGUUGUAUGUGAAUGAGUGGUUCCAUGGAAUGCAAAUAUUUAUUUUGUUACAGUACAUGAUUUGUGUAUAUCAGAUAUUACACGGAACUGAAUGUGUAUAUAUGGCUCAAUAUACUAAGGACUAUCACAAUACUCAGCCUUGUAAUUGCACAUAAAUGAAUGUAGAGAUGUUUGGAAACAGCUUUGAUUGGCACGCUGCACAUUCGAGAGGAGGAAGAUGGAAGCACAAAUGUGUAAAGUGUUCGAUAGAAAACACAGGGCUGCAUCAAUUCACGGUACCGGGUUGAAUAACUAACAGAUGAAAAACACCUCUUUCUUUACAGACUCUCUCUAGCUGAUUCCUUGCUCCACUGAGGAGGAAAUCUGCAGCACAAUGUUAUGAAUUCUCUCUCCUUAUCUAUCGUCGAAGAGAAUAUAUUCAAACUGAAUGAAUGCUAAUGCUUUUGACAGUGUUCCUCUUUAUAACCGCUUGAAUCCCACGAAAUAUCCUUUAUCCUAAAUGUUAUUUAUUCUUCUACACUGUAUAUCUGCAUCUACGCAAAUAUCCGACUUUCGAUUAUUUUAAA